rnacentral:rRNA from 1 species
CCUACGGGAGGCAGCAGUGAGGAAUAUUGGUCAAUGGACGAGAGUCUGAACCAGCCAAGUAGCGUGAAGGAUGACUGCCCUAUGGGUUGUAAACUUCUUUUAUAUGGGAAUAAAAUGUUCACCGUGUGGGAGUUUGUAUGUACCAUAUGAGUAAGGAUCGGCUAACUUCGUGCCAGCAGCCGCGGUAAUACGGAGGAUCCGCGCGUUAUCCGGAUUUAUUGGGUUUAAAGGGAGCGUAGGUGGAUUGUUAAGUCAGUUGUGAAAGUGUGCGGCUCAACCGGAAAAUUGCAGUUGAAACUGGCAGUCUUGAGUACAGUAGAGGUGGGCGGAAUUCGUGGUGUAGCGGUGAAAUGCUUAGAUAUCAGGAAGAACUCCGAUUGCGAAGGCAGCUCACUGGACUGCAACUGACACUGAGGCUCGAAAGUGUGGGUAUCAAACAGGAUUAGAUACCCGAGUAGUC